rnacentral:tRNA from 1 species
GGAGGGGUGGGUGAGAGGCUGAAACCAACGGUUUGCUAAACCGUCGUACGGGUUAAACCGUACCCCGGGUUCGAAUCCCGGCCUCUCCG